rnacentral:rRNA from 1 species
UACGUAGGGUGCAAGCGUUGUCCGGAAUUAUUGGGCGUAAAGAGCUCGUAGGCGGUUUGUUGCGUCGGCUGUGAAAUCCCGAGGCUCAACCUCGGGUCUGCAGUCGAUACGAGCAAACUAGAGUGUUGCAGGGGAGACUGGAAUUCCUGGUGUAGCGGUGAAAUGCGCAGAUAUCAGGAGGAACACCGGUGGCGAAGGCGGGUCUCUGGGCGACAACUGACGCUGAGGAGCGAAAGCGUGGGGAGCAAACGGG